UAUCCGGAGUGGGAAAUGAGCCUCCUUGCUCCAGACCAGGAAGAGUUCAACCACUACAGUGGUUUCCUCCUCAGGAUCCCAGGGCUCCAGCACCAAAUGCCUCCCAGUGUGCUGCUGCUCCACCUCUGGGUCUUAGCUUACGACAGAAGAACAGGAUCUGAGUGGCUCAGAACAGGUUGCCUGAACCCCGGCCGGAGAGCAAUGUGACUUUGGAGACUUCCUCAAAGAAGAUUUGGAAGUACCAGCUGAAUCUGAAGACACCAUGCUGUAAACUCUGCGAGAACAAGAGCAUACCCAAAUUUGCCUAGUGAAGCCCAGGGAGCAUGAGGAAUGAGUGGAAGAAGUGUUGGAAUGUUAGUUAAGACAAAAGCUCUCGCUGGCCUUCCAGCUUGCACUCAGCAUCAACCCCUCUUCUGUCACUCCUCUAAGUACAACGUAUACACAAAAUGCCCAAAUCUAAAGCCUACAGCUUAAUGAAACUCAUUCUCCUAAAGUAAAAAUCUGAUCACAGCAUUUUCUUUGCUUUAAUCCCUCCACUGGCUUCCCAGUUAAAAAGGAAUAAACAACCUGGCCUGUAAGUUA